AUUUUCUGUUGAUGCUUCUUCAAACCAAAUGCUAGCCCAUUUAAAUCUUGGUGGCUACUCCAAUGAAGAUUUUAUGAUUGUCAUCAUGUGAAGAUAUUUCAUUUUGACUAUUAGAUGAUAGAUU